GUCUUGCGGAGUACUGCCGCCCCCGGUCUGAAAGAAGGAGAAAAGGGCCAUCAUUGGAGGGGCUUUCACUGCCAAAUUGUGGACCAGCCCGGCAAGGUCAAAGGUUUGAGACCGCGGGAGACCAAGUAUGCUGCAAUUACACAGCUCCAAGGAAUCGACAAUGGCACGUGUGAAGAGCAGCCCUCGACAACCACACUUUUAAGUCAGCUUGGAAAGAAGAGAGACUUAAGAAACAUUAGGGAUUUGAACCUUGUAACCUGCCAUACAAAAGAGAAGAGAGAACCCCACCAUGCAAGGAUUUUAAGUCUGGAACAAAGUCUUAUUUUCUAAAUGUUUAAGGGACUGGAUUUCCUGGCCUUUCAAACAAUGGGAAUCCCAGGAUAAAUGUCUAAUCCAUUAGAAAGAUGCAAAUAGUUUACUGUAAGGCCACACAGCUCAGUGAGAUGUGCAUUCAUAUCUAAGGCUCCUGAUUGGCUCUUUCCUUCAGUAAAUCAAUGAAUAA